UACGUAGGGGGCAAGCGUUGUCCGGAUUUACUGGGUGUAAAGGGUGCUCAGGUGGAUUUGUUAGUCGGAGGUGAAACUCCGGAGCUUAACUCCGGAACUGCCUCCGAAACAGCAAGUCUUGAGUUUGGUAGAGGAUGAUGGAAUAUCUGGUGUAGCAGUGAAAUGCGCAGAUAUCAGGAGGAACACCGGUGGCGAAGGCGGCACUCUGGGCCAGUACUGACGCUGAGGAGCGAAAGCUAGGGGAGCAAAC
rnacentral:rRNA from 1 species